CCUACGGGGAGCAGCAGUGAGGAAUAUUGGUCAAUGGGCGAGAGCCUGAACCAGCCAAGUCGCGUGAAGGAUGAAGGAUCUAUGGGUUGUAAACUUCUUUUAUAUGGGAAUAAAGCGAGGAACGUGUUCCUUUUUGUAUGUACUAUAUGAAUAAGCAUCGGCUAACUCCGUGCCAGCAGCCGCGGUAAUACGGAGGAUGCGAGCGUUAUCCGGAUUUAUUGGGUUUAAAGGGUGCGUAGGUGGUUUAUUAAGUCAGUGGUGAAAGUUUGUGGCUCAACCCUAAAAUUGCAAUUGAAACUGGUAGUCUUGAGUACAUUUGAGGUAGGCGGAAUGCGUGGUGUAGCGGUGAAAUGCAUAGAUAUCACGAAGAACUCCGAUUGCGAAGGCAGCUUACUAAACUGUAACUGACACUGAUGCACGAAAGCGUGGGGAUCAAACAGGAUUAGAUACCCGUGUAGUC
rnacentral:rRNA from 1 species